rnacentral:rRNA from 1 species
AUUGAACGCUGGCGGCAGGCCUAACACAUGCAAGUCGAACGAGUGGCGGACGGGUGAGUAAUGUCUGGGAAACUGCCUGAUGGAGGGGGAUAACUACUGGAAACGGUGGCUAAUACCGCAUACCAUCAGAUGUGCCCAGAUGGGAUUAGCUAGUUGGUGGGGUAACGGCUCACCAAGGCGACGAUCCCUAGCUGGUCUGAGAGGAUGACCAGCCACACUGGAACUGAGAAACGGUGAAGCCUCCUACGGGAGGCAGCAGUGGGGAAGAGUGCACAAUGGGCGCAAGCGUGAUGGAGCCAUGCCGCGUCGAUGAAGAAGGCCUUCGGGCUGUAAAGUACUUUCAGCGGGGAGGCGUUACCCGCAGAAGAAGCACCGGCUAACUCCGUGCCAGCAGCCGCAGUAAUUC